rnacentral:piRNA from 1 species
UAGUAUUUUAUAAUGUUCAGAUAAAGCCUC